CACUGGCUGAGUGUGCUGUAGGCGGAAACAGAGGUCUUAAGACAAAGUCUGGGGAAGGUGCAGCUUUUAGAAGGGCAUGGGGCUGUGUCUGGGGUGGGCAGGAGAGUGGAGGGAACCGAAGUGAUUUCCUGCAGACCGGGGCUGGGAGAUGGGGCCUUGAUCAGCGGCACAGCCCAGUGCUGAGCAAGCCCAGCGCAGUGCUGGCCCACCCGCCCACCCUCAGGCCUUCAGCUUCCUGCAAGUCACAGCUUCCCCUGGGAAGGUCGCCAGGAGAGCCAGGGCAGCGCCACUGCUCGGGCUCGGGCUCGGGCUCGGGCCACAGCCUGUUCCCGGGAGCGCGGUCUGUCCUCCACACACAGCCACCCCCGCAGGCAAGCAGCUCUUCGAAGACUCGUGCAAUAAAUCAUACACAGGAACAACAACAUCCGGGAUCAUCUAUCCUGGAAGAAAUACUUUGCGUUCCAGAACCACUGGGCCCAAGAGGUCACAGUCCAGUUCCCCAGGCUUAGUCCUGCUUCCCUCGCCCGGCCGCGCUUUCGCUCAGAAACAGCCAGACUCACGGCACUGAUUUGCCUCCUGAGCCUUGAGAAGGGAAAUUGCAGUCGUACGGACUUCCGAGUGCACGUGUGUGUGGGUGUUGGCUGCACGGUG
ensembl:lncRNA